GGACGGCCGGUCAGGCUCGCCGCCGAGCUGGAGAACUACGAUGACCCGCACAAAACCCCUGCCUCCCCAGUUGUCCACAUCAGGGGCCUGAUUGACGGCGUGGUGGAAGCAGACCUUGUGGAGGCCUUGCAGGAGUUUGGACCCAUCAGCUAUGUGGUGGUAAUGCCUAAAAAGAGACAAGCACUGGUGGAGUUUGAAGAUGUGUUGGGGGCUUGCAACGCAGUGAACUACGCAGCCGACAACCAAAUAUACAUUGCUGGUCACCCAGCUUUUGUCAACUACUCUACCAGCCAGAAGAUCUCCCGCCCUGGGGACUCGGAUGACUCCCGGAGCGUGAACAGUGUGCUUCUCUUUACCAUCCUGAACCCCAUUUAUUCGAUCACCACGGAUGUUCUUUACACUAUCUGUAAUCCUUGUGGCCCUGUCCAGAGAAUUGUCAUUUUCAGGAAGAAUGGAGUUCAGGCGAUGGUGGAAUUUGACUCAGUUCAAAGUGCCCAGCGGGCCAAGGCCUCUCUCAAUGGGGCUGAUAUCUAUUCUGGCUGUUGCACUCUGAAGAUCGAAUACGCAAAGCCUACACGCUUGAAUGUGUUCAAGAAUGAUCAGGAUACUUGGGACUACACAAACCCCAAUCUCAGUGGACAAGGUGACCCUGGCAGCAACCCCAACAAACGCCAGAGGCAGCCCCCUCUCCUGGGAGAUCACCCCGCAGAAUAUGGUGAGGGCAGGGGGUUCCCCUCCGUGGACUCCCGUGGCUCAUGUGCCCCUGCCCGCCGCCCGCCGUGCAAAUUCUCACCCGUCCUCCCUCUCUUUCCUUCCCACCCCCCAGGAGGGCCCCACGGUGGGUACCACAGCCAUUACCAUGAUGAGGGCUACGGGCCCCCCCCACCUCACUACGAAGGG
rnacentral:sRNA from 1 species